rnacentral:rRNA from 1 species
AUUGAACGCUGGCGGCAUGCCUUACACAUGCAAGUCGAACGGCAGCACGGGAGCAAUCCUGGUGGCGAGUGGCGAACGGGUGAGUAAUAUAUCGGAACGUGCCCAGUAGUGGGGGAUAGCCCGGCGAAAGCCGGAUUAAUACCGCAUACGACCUGUGGGUGAAAGCGGGGGAUCGCAAGACCUCGCGCUAUUGGAGCGGCCGAUAUCAGAUUAGCUAGUUGGUGGGGUAAAGGCCCACCAAGGCGACGAUCUGUAGCUGGUCUGAGAGGACGACCAGCCACACUGGGACUGAGACACGGCCCAGACUCCUACGGAGGCAGCAGUGGGGAAUUUUGGACAAUGGGCGCAAGCCUGAUCCAGCCAUGCCGCGUGUGGGAAGAAGGCCUUCGGGUUGUAACCACUUUGUCAGGAGAAACGGACGUCUUACUAAUAAUUGUAGGGCGUAAU